rnacentral:lncRNA from 1 species
UCCCCAGCCAGGCUGCCACCUCGCAGUUCAAUCUCAGACUGCUGUGCUAGCAGUGGGGAAGGCUCCGUGGGCAUGGAAACUGCCGAGCCAGGCACAGUAGAGAAUCACCUUGUCUGCCGGUUGCUAAGACCUUUGGAAAAGUGCAGUAUUUGGGUGAGAGUGUCCUAUUUUUCCAGCUCACCCUCCAUGGGCUGCACUCACCUUCCAACCAGUCUCAAUGAGAUGAACCAGGUACCUCAGUUGGAAAUGCAGAAAUCACCCGUCUUCUGCGUCAAUCACGCUGAGAACUGCAGACCAGAGCUGUUCCUAUUUGGCCAUCUUGGAACCGGUCUGAGUCUGUUUUAGCCAGAUCAAGUACUUGCAGACACUUGAAGAAGCAUCUUUCUUGUGAUCUCCUGGCUGGUACCCUGAAGUCCUGUUAUGCCAAUGGACCAGCAACCCUCGCAGGUAGGAAUUACUGCUAGAAAGACUAUCCUCUCUGCAGGCAAAUUUCUGGAAGGAUACUAUUUUAUGGGGAAAAAUGUGAACAACUGUAGGUAAUUUCACAGUCUGUAGGGCUUGUCUCCUAUUUGUAAUUUCUUACAUGUUUACUCGUGGUGGAAAUGUGGAGGUGGCUAAGGAACAAGCAGGCCCGCUGUGUUUCAGUGGCUUUCAGAGAAGGUGGCGGGAAAUAGUCUCUUCUCAGCAGCAGCUGAAUCCCAGUGUUAGCAGACGGAGCCUUGUUUCUUGAAAGUACAUUCCCAGGGAUUCCCUUGAAGAAUGUGAGAGAUCAGCUGGAAUGAAACUGGAUGUUUUAGGGUCCUGAGGGAAAUGUAAAUCCAGCAGCUUAUUCUCAAGAUGUGGCUCCAGAACCAGCAGCACUGAUUCUUCUAAAGAGUUGAGAGUGCAUUUUAGCUGUGAUAUCUUUGUACUCUUAAGAAAUCCUCCUCAACAAGACAAAACUUGACCAAGAGCAUUCAGUUGUCUUCCAGAAGGCUCCCUUGAGGACUGGGACUCUUCCUGGAUGCACCCAAUUAAUCUAUUGAAACAAGGACUCGUGAUGGCAGCCCCUCACCUGACAAACUGGAUUUUCCCCAGAGAUCAUUUGUAAUGUUUUUCCUGAAUCUUAUUUGUGUUUCCCUAUUAGCAAUGUUAUGUAUUUCUAUAUCGCAAAUCCUAAGUGCCGCCUGUAGAACCUAACCUCCAUUUAUAGCAUGGAACACACAGCCCAUCACGUAUCCUUGCCCUGGCCUUCAGCCUCUGAAUAUUUUAAUAAAAAUCACUCUUUCCUCCUUAAGGACCAUGUUCUUUAAAAGCUUAACACAUAGUUCUUAAUAAUUGGUUGCUUUACUUGAUGUUUCUCUGUUUAUCUUGGCUGCCCAGAAGCUCAGACUUAAAUGUAAGAGUCUACUUACAGUAACAACCUUGUUGCGGAUACAAUUAAUUCUCCCUAUCUUGUAUGUGGUUUCCGUUGUCUUUAUUUAUUAUCUUUAUUUAAACCUUUAAAAGAGUAUAGGAUAUCAAUUUAUGAAAAGAAAAAUAUUUUUUUUAGUUCAAUUGAAAUCCCUGUUUUGUACCACACUAUAUUUAAUGCCCCAUAUAGUUCUAAAACUCUGCAUGAUUCAAAGCAGGGGUUCUUAUUCUGGCGUGUGUGUGUGUGUGUGUGUGUGUGUGUGUGUGUGUCUGUAUGUACAUACCUC